AUUGAACGCUGGCGGCAUGCCUAACACAUGCAAGUCGAGCGGAGCGGCGGACGGGUGAGUAAUGCCUAGGAAUCUGCCUGGUAGUGGGGGAUAACGUCCGGAAACGGGCGCUAAUACCGCAUACUAUCAGAUGAGCCUAGGUCGGAUUAGCUAGUUGGUGGGGUAAAGGCCUACCAAGGCGACGAUCAGUAACUGGUCUGAGAGGAUGAUCAGUAACACGGGAACGGAGACACGGUCAAGAGUCCUAAGGGAGGAAGCAGUGGGGAAUAUUGGAAAAUGGGCGAAAGCCUGAGCCAGCCAGGCCGCGUGUGUGAAGAAGUUCUUCGGAUUGUAAAGCACUUUAAGUUGGGAGGCGUUACCAACAGAAUAAGCACCGGCUAACUUCGUGCCAGCCGCCGCGGUAAUAC
rnacentral:rRNA from 1 species